AGAAUAUCUAUAUUAUAUUAAAUAUAACCAUAUCAAAUUAAACUCCAGAGCAUAAUACCUUUGUUAUAAUUACUGCAUCUUAAGUGGGCAGACCUGAUGAAGAAAUGUAGUAUAUAAUUUUUAAUUUACUGAAAUUGGCAAUAACAAGAUUAGGAAAGCAGAGUUUCUAUGGGCCAUCUGUUCAGACUUGAGAAUAGUAUUAUUAUACACAUAAUAAUCAUAUUUUAUAAUUGUAGCCAUAGCAGCAGUAUUAUAUUGAUAUUAGCAAACCUAGAGUAAGAAAGAUAUGUGGCUCCAGCAGUCAUAGUAUCACUAAUGUCUUUUUUCUCUCUGUUUAUGCUUCUUACCAGAAGUUUGCAUUUAUGCCGAACUUUGGUCUGUGUUGGGUCAACAUGGUGUAGAAAGACACAAGACUAUUACAGUCGUUGUCUGAAGAUGAAACUCCUUUCUCUAUUUCCAUUAUAAUUGGAUAAACUCUGUUUUUGUUGAACAGGAGCCCAUUUUCACAUGAUGCUACAGUCUUUUCUUUCUUUUCCUUUGCCAAAGAGCCAUCUGCUGUGGAAUCAUUCUCUACUGAGAACACUCUUGAUCUUGAGCCUGUAAUCAGUUUUCACAAGAGUCUCCUCUGAGAAGGAACCCAUGCUGCUUUGCCAUUGUAGACCAACUGGAGGAAAAACAUAUGAUAUGGAAUGGAUACCUAGGACUGGAAUUCCAAUUUAUAACAUUGUACCAUAGGAAAUGGAGAUUGAAAGAAACAUGUACCUGGAAAUAACCAGUCUUCUUAAGAGACAAGCAACUCAGCAGAGUGCGUUCCAGACUAUAGCGAUACAUCUGGGUCCCCAAAGCCUGGAAGUUGAGUAUCCACUUGAGUCAUUUUCAGUGACGGAGAGAUAAGAGAGUGGUAAUAGGGCACAUAAAUGGUAAUAGGGUACAAUUCAGAGAUGUUGACCCCUGUCACAGGAGGUGAAGGGAUUAAAAAUUUCAGGAUUUUGGAAAUUCUAUAUGUUGAAGCUGCAAAAAUUUGUUACUUAUUAUCUUCAAUAAUUUUUUUUUUGCUGGGAAAGAGUCACUCUGAGCUAACAUCUGUUGCCAAUCCUCCUCUCUUUUUUCUCCCCAAAGUCCCAGGACAUAGUUGUAUAUUUUAGUUGAAGUUCUUCCAUGUGAGCCACUGCCACAGCAUGGCCACUGACCACAAGACGUGUGGUUCUGCGCCCAGGAACUGAAGCUGGACUGCCAAAGCAGAGUGCAUUGAACUUUAACCAUUAGGCCAUCAGCACUGACUCAACAUAUUUUUAAAUAUAACUGACAAAAGCACUUGCAAGCCAUGGUAUGUGCAGAAAAGGAAUGUUAUCUGAGUGUAAUAGGUAUUCCCAUAUUUUUUAUAUUACUAAUAAUAUGAAAUAUUCAUAGAAAUUACCUGAAUUCUACAUCAGUAAUUAGUAGCAUAGAAGUUACCUGAACAUCUGGGCAGAAAAUUGAAGUACCCACCAAUAGCUCAAAUAGAACAGAAUCAUAUUUUGCAUUUCCUAGUUGACCAGACAUUUUCAAUUUCUGUUAUCCCACAGCUCACAUAGGAAGGACAGGAC
ensembl:lncRNA